CACCAUUGUAAAGCAAUUAUACUCUAAUAAAGAUGUUAAAAAAAGAAUUCUCAACCACUUGUCUAGUAUAUAUUGAUUGAAACCAUUUGUAAAUUACUCCAUCUGUCAAUGAAAUGCAAACACCUCUGUAGUGAAACUAAACAGCUGUUUAAAUGCUCAAAGCUUUAAUAGACAAAGAAAUCCUCUUCCUUAACACUGGUUCUAUUUAUACUAUUCCAAAACAACAACUCAUUUAGGGAAAAAUCCAGUAUUUCCAGGUGUAUAAACACAACCAUUAUUUAUAAGGCGAUUUAUAAGAAGACGGAGACUAACCACUUCCCAGUUGAGGAAUUGCUAAGCACUAGAAUUAGGAAAGUUAGGCUCCUGUGUGUGUGUGUGUGUGUGUGUGUGUGUGUGUGUGUGUGUGUGUGUGUGUUUAUGUUGUGUGUAUUUGGUGGAUUCAGAAUUAUUUGUAUUUGUGGGCUACACUUAAAAUUCACAAUUGCUCGGGCACCCUUUAUUGCACAAAAUCCACAAACGAGCUUGGAAUAAAUAAAAGUCUUACAAGCAGUAGACUUGUAAAUUAUAAAUUGUAAUUUAUAAUUCUUAACAGUCUAUUUAUACCAUACAGGAAUUUGCAAAUAUUUUCCAUUUAAACAAAGACAUACCUUCGUCAUAUUUUCUUAGUUAUUUCCUUAUUAACUAAGGAGGAAAUUGAGUACCAUGUAGCCUCUGGACUCUGACGGCCUGGGUUUGAAUACCAGCUCCACUGAUGACUGCCUAUGUAGCACUGGGCAAGGUAUUUCUCCUAGCUAAGCCUCAGUUUUCACACCUGUCAAAUGGCAAAAAUAAUAUAUCUCACAGAGUAAUUGUGAGGACUAAAAGAAUUUAAAAUUUGUAAAAGUGAAUUUGUAAGAAUUUAAAAAUGUAAAUCAUUUGAUGCAAUGCUUGUCACACAGCACUUAAUACAAGUUAUAUAUUAUUUUAAAUCAUGAAGCCUUUUGCUGGGUUUAAUAUUGAUGAUCCUCAAUUAAUUUUCACCUCUUGUCACUUUUGGCAAUAAAUGAUUAUUCACAUAGAACUUCUUGAAAUGAAAACUGCUGCCAAUCACUGUCUCAUUCAUAUAACAACUAGGUCAUUCAACAGUCAAUUAUUUUUAAUUAGUUGUGACUAUAAUUUACAGUUAAUGUAUACCUGCAGGAAGCUUGGGAGGCUGAGCUGUUUAAAACCUGUCACUUCACAAAAGGUACAAACUUUUAGUUAUAUGAUAAAUAAGUACUAGGGAUGUAAUGCAGUACUAGGAUGUAACGUACCAUGAUAAAUAUACUUAGCACUGCUGUAUGUUAUAUCUGAAAGUUGUUAGAGAGUAAAUCAUGAGUUUUCAUCACAAGGAAAACAUUUUCCUAUUUCUUUAAUUUUGUAUUGACACGAGAUGAUGGGUGUUCACUGAACUUAUUGUGGUGAUCAUUUCAUGAUGUAUGUAAGACAAAUCAUUAUGCUUACAUCUUGAAUUUAACCAGUGCUGUGUAUCAAUUUCAUCUCAAUACAACUGGAAGAUAGAUAGAUAGAUGAUAGAUAGAUCGAUAGAUAGAUAGAUAGGUAGACAGAUAAAGCCAGCCACUUCAUAGUAGCUAUCAGUUGGGUCCUGGCAGGAAACAGGUGACAUAUUCAAACUGAGUAUGGAGAAGAGUUUAGUAAAGAACUAUGUACAAAGUUGUGGGCAGGUUUAGGGGAAAAGAGUGAUAAUGAAGUGCCCUAGAGUUUAUAAAUAUGGGAGAGCAGUUACCACUUCUAAGUCUGAAAGUGCAGGGGGAGGAUGUGGCCUCAGGAACAUAGUGUGGAUAGCUGUUCAGAGAGGACCCCCCGACAGGGGCUGUCACUUUUGGUAUUGAGAUAUAGCUAAUGCUGCUCUGGGAAGGAGUUGGGAGUAAAUACACCAGCCUCACUCUCUUUCUGCCCUUUUAACCCCCUCCCAUUGCUUCCAACUGGUCAGACCUAACUUGAGAAGUCUGAGGUCAAGAGAGCCUGCUCAUGAAGUCCAUGCAGGUCAGUCUUGUACAGCCCAGAACCUUGAAGAGUAGAUUUGGAAGAACGAACAGAAAGCAGCCAGUAUCACCGUUACUGAAGUUGUCCCAUAGCUGAUGAGGGAACUCUUAAAAUUGACUUGGAACACAAGCCCAGCCCUUGUGCUCAACUAGAAGGUGCAGAACUCUGGACUUACUAGACAUGCAUGCAGAGGGGUUCCAUGAGGAAAAUCCUGGCUUGCUUGCAGGUCGUUUUCAUGUGGAGACAGGGUAGACUUUUACCAGGCAAAGGUACUACUAGGCUUUGUGAACUUCAAUCCAUUAAGUCCCCAGAUAAGAAAAACAAUUUGAUCCAGCUAGGGAUUUCGUGUCUAGGUGAGACAAGCCAGACUGUAAACCCACAGUGAGUAAUCAGUAAGUGCUCUGAAGAUCACAAUUUGGGGUCACACAGUUUACCUGAUUUCUGAGAUGGGUUCUGUGGUAGGUACUGUAUUUUGUGUCCUCCAGCCCCAUAGAGUCUUGUGAUGCCCUGAAGCCCCAGCCUUGGGAGAGACCCUGAGCCAGAACAACCCAGCUAAGAUGCUCCUGGCUUCCUGACUCUCAGAAACUGUAUGAGGUGAUAAGGUUUGUUGUUAUUCAGCAAUGAACAACUCCUACAAUAACAUACAAAACUUUUUGUAAAGGUCAAAGGCAUUCAUUAUAAACUGAUCAAGGGGUGGUCGUAAAAGCAGAGUGAGCAUGAAACCUAGGAGAAAGGAAGCAGAUUGGCUGGGAAAAGUAGACUUAGCUGUAACGGACAACUAGAGUAAGGCAAAACCAACUAGAUGUUCAAGUAAUGUAUAGCUACUAACAGAGAGACAUAAAGACACAGUUUCUGAGCAUUUACCCUGUAUAUUAUUUACUCUUUGCAAAAAUUCUGCGGUUCUGUGAUACACAUUGCUACCUUUAUUUUACAGGGGAAGACACUCAGGGUCAAGAGUAGAAACACGUGCUUCAGAGUCACACAGACAAGAGAUAAUAGAGCUCGGAUUAGAACCCAAGCCAGUCUGGCCCCAGAGUUCACGUUCUCUCUGUGCUUCUCUGUGCAGGAGUAAAGAAAAGGAAUAUUGGACAAGGGAGGUCAUAUUGGGAGAUAAAGUAAGAUAACAAAACAGUCAUGGGAAAAUUCUUCAGUCUUUUGGAAGGAGUCGGGGAAACUGCCUGUGGUGAAAACAAAACUAAACCCCGCAAAAACAUAUGGCUGAUUAAAAGGAGGAAGCUCACUAGAGAACAGAAGAUAUUUUGGGUGAUAAUAGAGCUUAGAGUGAAAGAAGCCCCAUCUGUAGUCAUCUCUUCAAGGCCAGAUCUAAAUAUGCAGAAUAUGGGUGGCUCCUCCCCCACCCCCAAGGGGUACACCAGGGAAAAGCACACCACCUAGAGUAACAUGUAAACACACAAGCACAGCAGAGACAACACUCCCUGGCUGUGAGCAGAUGGGGAGGAGAGCAGGUCUCGGGAAGUUCUCCAGCAGGAAAGUGAAAGAAGUAUUUGGACUGUUGUUCUGCAUACAGAGCAGAAAAGUACAUCAAGCUGCUUUUCAGUUUCUAUGGAAAGGUGCCUCCACCCUCUCUUUCAACUUGAGAUCCGGACACGUCUGUCUUCAGAG